AUUUUCUAUAGGUUUCCUAUAUGUAUGUCUGCCCUCUGAUAUUAAUUUUUUAUAGGGAAAGGACCUUAAACAGCAGCUUGCUACUUGGGUCCUUUUGUGUCACCCUUGCUUUGCACUUUCGUUAGGGCUUGGCACACCCGCC
rnacentral:snRNA from 1 species